GACGAACGCUGGCGGCGUGCUUAACACAUGCAAGUCGAACGGAAAGGCCCUGCGUUUGUGGGUUGCUCGAUUGGCGAACGGGGGAGUAACACGUGUGUAACCUGCCCUUGUCUUUGGGAUAACUUCAGGAAACUGGGGCUAUUACCGGAUAGGAUCUCCUUCUGCAUGGUGGGGGUUGGAAAGUUUCGGCGGUUGGGGAUGGACUCGCGGCUUAUCAGCUUGUUGGUGGGGUAGUGGCUUACCAAGGCUUUGACGGGUAGCCGGCCUGAGAGGGUGAACGGGCACAUUGGGACUGAGAUACGGCCCAGACGCCUACGGGAGGCAGCAGUGGGGAAUAUUGCACAAUGGGCGGAAGCCUGAUGCAGCAACGCCGCGUGCGGGAUGACGGCCUUCGGGUUAUAAACCGCUUUCGACUGUGACGAAGCGUGAGUGACGGUAAUGGGUAAAGAAGCACCGGCUAACUACGUG
rnacentral:rRNA from 1 species